UACGUAGGGGGCGAGCGUUGUCCGGAUUUACUGGGCGUAAAGAGCGCGCAGGCGGUCGUUCAAGUCGAGUGUGAAAGCCCCCGGCUCAACUGGGGAGGGUCAUUCGAUACUGAUCGACUCGAAGGCAGGAGAGGGUAGUGGAAUUCCCGGUGUAGUGGUGAAAUGCGUAGAUAUCGGGAGGAACACCAGUGGCGAAGGCGACUACCUGGCCUGUUCUUGACGCUGAGGCGCGAAAGCUAGGGGAGCAAACGGG
rnacentral:rRNA from 1 species